UUUUUAUCGAACUUCGGUUCACCAAGAAAGAGGAGUAGCGAACGGGUGAGUAACACGUGGGUAACCUGCCCAUCAGCGGGGGAUAACACUUGGAAACAGGUGCUAAUACCGCAUAAUGCUUUUUCUCACAUGAGAGAAAGCUGAAAGGCGCUUUUGCGUCACUGAUGGAUGGACCCGCGGUGCAUUAGCUAGUUGGUAGGGUAACGGCCUACCAAGGCAACGAUGCAUAGCCGACCUGAGAGGGUGAUCGGCCACACUGGGACUGAGACACGGCCCAGACUCCUACGGGAGGCAGCAGUAGGGAAUCUUCGGCAAUGGACGAAAGUCUGACCGAGCAACGCCGCGUGAGUGAAGAAGGUUUUCGGAUCGUAAAAACUCUGUUGUUAGAGAAGAACAAAGG
rnacentral:rRNA from 1 species